UACAGAGGGUGCAAGCGUUAAUCGGAAUUACUGGGCGUAAAGCGUAUGUAGGUGGUUUUUUAAGUCAGGUGUGAAAUCCCUGGGCUCAACCUAGGAAUUGCAUUUGAUACUGGAAAGCUUGAGUGUGGUAGAGGGUAGUGGAACUCCCGGUGUAGCGGUGAAAUGCGUAGAUAUCGGGAAGAACACCAGUGGCGAAGGCGGCUACCUGGACUAACACUGACACUGAGAUACGAAAGCGUGGGGAGCAAACAGG
rnacentral:rRNA from 1 species